GGUCACCGCUAUUGGGAUUCGAUUAAGCCAUGCGAGUCGAGAGGGUUCGGCCCUCGGCGGACUGCUCAGUAACACGUGGAUAAUCUGCCCUAUGGUGGAGGAUAACCUCGGGAAACUGAGAAUAAUACUCCAUAGAUCCAAGAGGCUGGAAUGCGCUUGGAUCGAAAGUUCCGGCGCCAUAGGAUGAGUCUGCGGACUAUCAGGUUGUAGUCAGGGUAACGUCCUGACUAGCCAACGACGGAUACGGGUUGUGAGAGCAAUAACCCGGAGAUGAUGUCUGAGACACGACAUCGGGCCCUACGGGGCGCAGCAGGCGCGAAACCUUCACACUGUGCGAGAGCGCGAUAAGGGGAUCCCAAGUGCUAACUCGAAAGAGUUAGCUGUUUACCUGUUUAAAACGCAGGUAGAGUAAGGACUGGGUAAGACGGCUGCCAGCCGCCGCGGUAAUAGCUGCAGUCCAAGUGGUGACCGCUAUUAUUGGGCCUAAAACGUCCGUAGCCGGUCUGGUAAAUGCCUGGGUAAAUUGUGCCGCUCAACGGUACGAAUUCCGGGUAGACUGCCAGGCUUGAGACCGGGAGAGGUUAGAGGUACUCUUGGGGUAGAGGUGAAAUUCUGUAAUCCUGAGAGGACCACCUGUGGCGAAAGCGUCUAACCAGAACGGGUCUGACGGUGAGGGACGAAGCCCUGGGUCACAAACCGGAUUAGAUACCCGGGUAGUCCAGGGUGUAAACGCUGCUUGCUUGAUGUUAGCUGGGCUACGAGCCCAACUAGUGUCGGAGAGAAGUUGUUAAGCAAGCUGCCUGGGAAAUACGGUCGCAAGGCUGGAACUUAA
rnacentral:rRNA from 1 species